CAGUCGCCACGGUAAUACGUAGGUGGCAAGCGUUGUCCGGAAUUAUUGGGCGUAAAGGGCUCGCAGGCGGUUUCUUAAGUCUGAUGUGAAAGCCCCCGGCUCAACCGGGGAGGGUCAUUGGAAACUGGGAAACUUGAGUGCAGAAGAGGAGAGUGGAAUUCCACGUGUAGCGGUGAAAUGCGUAGAGAUGUGGAGGAACACCAGUGGCGAAGGCGUCUCUCUGGUCUGUAACUGACGCUGAGGAGCGAAAGCGUGGGGAGCGAACAGGAUUAGAUACCCGUGUAGUCCCUGUCUCUUAUAC
rnacentral:rRNA from 1 species